GUGGUAAUGCCGAAUGUUCCACAUGCUCGCAUGGGUGUGUGGGAAAACGUUUUAGUGCUAUGCGAUGGGAUCGCGUCCUAUCAGCUUGUUGGUGGGGUAGUGGCCUACCAAGGCUUCGACGGGUAGCCGGCCUGAGAGGGCGACCGGCCACAUUGGGACUGAGAUACGGCCCAGACUCCUACGGGAGGCAGCAGUGGGGAAUAUUGCACAAUGGGGGGAACCCUGAUGCAGCGACGCCGCGUGCGGGAUGACGGCCUUCGGGUUGUAAACCGCUUUUAUUGGGGAGCAAGCGUGAGUGAGUGUACCUUUUGAAUAAGCACCGGCUAACUACGUGCCAGCAGCCGCGGUAAUACGUAGGGUGCAAGCGUUGUCCGGAAUUAUUGGGCGUAAAGAGCUCGUAGGCGGUUUGUCGCGUCUGGUGUGAAAGUCCAUCGCUUAACGGUGGAUUGGCGCUGGGUACGGGCAGGCUAGAGUGUAGUAGGGGAGACUGGAAUUCUCGGUGUAACGGUGGAAUGUGUA
rnacentral:rRNA from 1 species